UACCCAGAGGCUUCCUUGCAUCUCAAGCGACUGCCUCCCUAAAUCACCCUAUGCACUUCAAGAACUGGGUGGUACUGCUGUACUUCCGCUUUAGCCACCAUCCAAUGAGGAAAACAAAGGAUGACUUAGCGGACGAUGACUUCCAAUCCCGUGGUCUCAGGCACCAAGACGACGGGCGGGGAUGCUUGGGGUUCUUCUGGUGAGAAAUAUUCUCAUGCACUCCUCCUUCGGAAUUGUGCCAGACACCUCUGGUUAUGGAUGCCAAGAAUGUUUGUUCAGAAUACUCACUGCCCAAGGGCUCCCACCUGAUAAAGGACACCUGCUUUCUGCUGAUGAUGCUUCAAACCCGGAACCGCAUGAUGCUUCGUACCCAGGACUACAUCUGCGGGGAGCAAGAGAUACCUUAUCCUAAUGGGCUUAAGACAUCAUAUGUCUCGCUGAGGCCAUGCUCUGUAAAGGCUGCUAGGACGGGAUUGGUGUCUGCCUCCUCUCACACAGACCUGGC